AUUCAUCCUGCAUUCACACUGUGCUGAAAAAUUCUCUUUUGCUGAGAAAAGAAAAAGUUACAAGGGUCAUCACAAGGUGUUGGUGAAAUUUUCAUGGGUGGGAUGCAAGGGUUUUUGUCAUGCUUAUCUUUCUAGACGACAAUCCCUGCACUCCCAAAAUUCCACAGAAAUCAUCAAGUGCUUUGAGAAUGAGGCAGAGAAAAUGGAAACCUCUUUCCCAGAGGAAGAAGAUUUCUGAGUAAUUGAAGGGCAGACUUUGGCACAGUCCUAUCCAAUAGGGAGCAACCCGCAAGUCCCAGUUCAGACAAGACGCAAAACCAAACCUUGACUUAGCAUGGUACAGCAGGGAGGAGCAAAGUCACUGUGAACGCCUAUUUGGGAGCCUGCCUGUGGCUUGGCCAUUGUUUCAGACUGCCCCAGUGCCC
rnacentral:lncRNA from 1 species